CUCGUCUGUCUCUGAACACACACACACAUAUAUAUAUAUAUAUAUAUAUAUAUAUAUAUAUAUAUAUAAAUGACACAUUUUUAAGUACAAGUCGAUGAUAGUGCAGAGUGAUGUCAUAAAAAACGCAGUACCAAGUUGAAGACAUUAAAAUGUGUGUCAAAAUCCAUGGGAAGUCGUUUGCUCUGGCUGCCCUAUUUGUUGUGUGUCUUGGCUUCAGAUUGAGCGUCUACUUGUCGAGGUACGAAAUGAAGGAGAGCGAAAAAGUGACUUAUUUAGUGGGUCUCUAUGGGUUCUCUCAUCACAUUCUUUUCCCCGUAGUCGAAACGUACAGAGAAAUAUUCAAAGGAUUUGAAUCAACCCUUCUGGAAUGUUUGAGGUCAAUUUUUUUUUGAAGGUCCAUCUGAAUCAGGAAAUUGGUUAUGACGAAGAAUCAAUUGAAAUGGAUGAGGGUUAAAGGCUCUAAAAGUUGAAACUUUCCUUUUCUUCUGAUACGAUUAUGUAUGUAAUAAUUGAAUAUUUGAGAAUUUAAUUGUCUAAUGAAGUGACAAUCAACUAUUUUAUUAUUUUUUAUAUAUAUUUAAAUAUUAAAUAAAGAAAUUAUAAACUAAUAAAGCAUUA